AGCAGCCGCGGUAAUUCCAGCUCCAAUAGCGUAUAUUAAAGUUGUUGCAGUUAAAAAGCUCGUAGUUGAAUUUCGGGGUUAGUAGGUUGGUCAUGCCUCUGGUAUGUACUGGUCUCACUGAUUCCUCCUUCCUGAUGAACCUUAAUGACAUUAAUUUGGUGUUUUGGGGAAUUUGGACUGUUACUUUGAAAAAAUUAGAGUGUUUAAAGCAAGCUAACGCUUGAAUACAUUAGCAUGGAAUAAUGAAAUAGGACGUUCGAUCCUAUUUUGUUGGUUUCUAGGAUUGACGUAAUGAUUAAUAGGGAUAGUUGGGGGCAUUAGUAUUCAAUUGUCAGAGGUGAAAUUCUUGGAUUUAUUGAAGACUAACUACUGCGAAAGCAUUUGCCAAGGAUGUUUUCAUUAAUCAAGAACGAAAGUUAGGGGAUCGAAGACGAUCAGAUACCGUCGUAGUCUUAACCAUAAACUAUGCCGACUAGGGAUCGGAUGAUGUUAAUUUUUUAAUGACUCA
rnacentral:rRNA from 1 species